rnacentral:lncRNA from 10 species
AAUAAGCAGCCCAUCAUGGGAAAGGGUUAAUUUUGUUGUGUUUUGUUUGUUUUGUUUUGUUUACAUUUAGUGGUUUAUUAUAUCACUUCAGAAUCAUUCAGUGCAAGCUAGAGUGUUUAGUGGUCAACCCAGAACUGCUUACUUUUCUGAUUGGUUUAUCAUAUCCUUUAUAAUAAACCACUAAAUGUAAACAAAGCAUACAGAUGAAGAGAUGCUCAGGGCCAGAUACUGGGGAAGGGUUGUGGAGCUUCCGUGCUCUCCCUGGGCGUGCCACUCUCCAGAAACCUCUGGAAGCCCUCCCAUCUUGCUCUGAGCCUCUUUCAAGGUGUUAAUGUAAUGUUAGAUUUCCCUCAACUUGUAACCCAUUUAUUCAUUCAUUUACCCUCAGCUAUUAUUUCUCCUUUUCUCCAUUAAUACCCAAACUUUUCCAGGAAAGGGUUAAUUUAAAAGCACUUUGCAUUUCAUCUGCUAGUAAUUUGUGGCAGCAGCAAGUGAGGAUGAAACAAAU